GAUAAACGCUGGCGGCGUGCAUUAUGCAUGCAAGUCGAACGGUGCCCGCAAGGGCACAGUGGCAAACGGGUGAGUAACACAUAAGCAACCUGUCCCGGAGUGGGGAAUAAUUAGCCGAAAGGCUGACUAAUACCGCAUGUGAUGCCUUCUCAUAAGAGGGGUCAUCAAAGCCGCAAGGCGCUCUGGGAGGGGCUUGUGUCCGAUUAGCUAGUUGGUGAGGUAAUGGCCCACCAAGGCUGUGAUCGGUAGCUGGUCUGAGAGGAUGGUCAGCCACACUGGGACUGAGACACGGCCCAGACUCCUACGGGUGGCUG
rnacentral:rRNA from 1 species